AAGGCCUCCCAUCAGAGCCAGUAAACGACUCAUAAAAUGGGUAGAAAUCGGUUGGAAGUAUGCAAGUGAUGCGUUUGCCAUUGAAGCUGGCCAAAGAGAGCAGAGCUUAUAAAAAGUUUGAUUGGUGUUGGGUG
ensembl:ncRNA F08G5.17 ncRNA